rnacentral:snoRNA from 1 species
CUUUUAUGAUGAUUCCCCAUCCAUGGUUUCGCAAUUUUAUAUGAAAUUCUGUGAUUUUAUCAACACUCUUGGCUGUCUGAAAUA